GAUAGUCGCCUGACUGGAGACAAUGAAGCCUCAGGCCAAGGAUGCUCCCUCCUACUCAGCCCUGUUUAGUGGGAUUUUUCAGCCCACUGUAAAGCCUACUGCUGCCUGUAAAGCCACCUAAGUGCAUCACUUGCUGGUGUUCACCAUGAUAACAACAAUUUAUGGGGACAGAAUAUGUUUCUAGAGCUGCUGGUGCCACUGCUGAUGUUACUGGGUUCCCUGAAAUAAAACAC
rnacentral:lncRNA from 1 species